GUUUUUCGCGCGCGCGCCACUGGAGGAGCCGGGACUCCCCGGCCGCCCAGCGCUGUUUUUGCUUAUUGCGUUGAAAUCCAUCGGGAAUAAAUUUGUGUUAUUCAAGUUAAUUUCGAGUCAAAAUUUAUUACAAUUUGGUGCCAUGACUCGGAUGAAGGAUAUUCGGUGGCAACCCCUCUAAGGGAGGCGCCCCACUUCUUUUUUUAAGCGGCCCUUGUGGGACUCUUGUCACCAGAUCCUUCACCAACGAACAUUCUAAAUUGCAAUAAGCAAAGUAAAUGCCGGCAGCCCCUUAAACUUUGUGCACGAAGACCCGAGUGAAGAUGCAGGAUGCAAACAGCCAUCCGAACUGCCGAAAAGGGGUGUACACAUGCCAGCUGAGUUAAAGGUCCAGUCAAGACUAACGCCUGGACUGCAGAGCCCACAGACGACCCUCUGAAAGUUAAACUACGGAAACAAUAAAUGGACUUGGGCUUGUUGAAUCAUAUCGUGCAAGUACAGAAAAACAAUAAAGUUGUUUAUGAAUAUCCCAUUUGUAACAAUCAUAGAGUUAGAUGUAUUAAUAUAAGUUGUAACUGUUAUCCUUUUUAUAUGCUUUAGGUGCAUAGUGUGCCGAAACAAUUGCUGGUUGCAUUGUAUAGACGGUAUUCCCCUAGAGGAACAUGCAAUCAAUGUUAUAAUAUAGAAUUAGAAAUUACAGAUUUGGCAUUGAAAUCAAAAGUCACACGAAAAAGAGAUCCACCCCGACAGUCCUGACUGGUGGUGUAUAUACACCCACGAAAUAUAGCCUGAGCGGUUUUGCUCUCACCCUGUCCUGGUUUUGUUAAAAAAAAGUUUCUCUUUCAGUGAAUAUUGCCUGUCAGCUAAAGCCUUCAUAUUAACUGCAUUUUCCUGGAGAACCAGACACAUGUUUUGGUAAACCUAGCAAUGGAAUGCAAACUUAUUGAUAAGCAUGGAUGGACAUCUCGCAAGAGGGGCGACAAGAAACAAGUGACCGAGAAACUGACCAACUGUGUAUAACAUUCCAUUCACGUGAAUACUUCAUAUAAAAGUGCGAGAUCACGAGGAUCUCGUCCCUUUGCCCUUUUCCCUUCUGCUUACGGCCGACAUUAGGAGAGGACCUUGCUAGUCGUCCCUGCAAACUGAGGCCUAGUGAGAGACUGAAUCCAGCUCCGAUUGGCUGCAGAGUCCAGUCCAGGACUUCAGGUGCCGGCUCUGCAGUUGCUGAGACUUUCAAGAUUGGUUUUGUAUGUUUUGUAUUAUUUUCUCUAUUCUUAUUAGUAGCAUUAGUAAAACAUGUUUAAUUUUUUCCAACUCUCUUCUCUCUGUCCUUCUUUUCCUCCCAAUCGCCUCUCCUUAGUGGAAAGGGGGGAGAGGGAGGGGCAAAAAGGGGGAAGUGGGGGGGAUUUUUGGCUUUUCUACUGCUCUGACGUACCUUUCAGUUUUCUUGGCACGGUGCCAACUCAUAGAGUUGUGAUACUCGCGCGUCCGUUUGCUUUGGAUAUUAUUUAGUUGUAUUAAGGCAAAGUGAAUUACACUGAUUUAAAGAUGUUAUGGCAUAAGUUGUAUCAGUUAUUUUCUACAUUGUGCUCACUGAUUCCAUAUCUGUGUUGGGCUUUCUUUUUAAAUCGAAGUAUUCAUUAUAUAACAACAAGGAACUGGACAAUGGUCAUGAU